GCACGUUCCUCUCGAUAGAUCUUAGGCACGUCACCGCCGCCGCCGCCGCUACCACCUCCUCCGCCGUUCUUCUAUUCCCUUUGGGUCGCUGGUUCUCUAGGAGCCUUGGUUUCUUCUCAUCCUGCCUCUCUCGCCAUGUCUUCUCUCGCUCUGCCCAGUUGCCGUUGUGUGUCCCCAUCGACCGCUGCCGCUGUUCCCUUCCCGUCGAUUGCUGCCGCCGUUCCCUCCCCAUCAUCCGCCGCAUGGAUCGAGUUCUCGCUACCAUCGCCGUUCUGUCUAACACUCUUUCUUAGGGAGGAAGAUGGAGGAUGCGAAGGCUACUAGAAAGCAUGGGAGACCAUCCAGAUCCGUCUUAGGAGCCCACCACUUUUGUUGUUCCGCACCUCACCCUCCGGCAGCGACGCCUUCGAUCUUUCUCUGAGCCGAGCUCCUCGUGUGACUGUGCUCCGAUGGCGCAGCUUCAGGGGAACAGGUUUGUGAAGGAAAAGAAAAGAAAAGGAAUAAGCUGCAGUAAAAUUUUGGUGAAGAACAUUUUUCCAUAGCUUGUGAACACGUUGGUCCUCAGAUUUUGAUUUUUUAUGAUUUGUAGUUAAAGCAUCCUUUUUGUAUUCGAUAACUUUAUUUGUUCACAUACUGCUUGAUGUUGCAUGGUCUACAGUCAAAACACCACUUGAAGAAGAAGAGGUGGGUGCAGGCGCUCAUGGACCAGCUCAACCUGCAGGACAUGGGCAAUACCGCGGCGAGGGUCGGUGCAUGUUGAUAGGCACAGACACCAUCCAUACCCAUGAGAACGGUCUGGUUCAGCAGCUGCAUGCACAUCUGGUGGGUGCGACCUUCAUGCUCGAGCAACGACGACCAGCACGGCAAACAAAUAGGAGAAUUGGCUUUGCUCUCCAUAGGGAAUACAACCAUGAAUUGUUCCACUUUUCAAAGUUUGGAGAUGGUCGAGAUCUGCAUGUGCAGAAGCAUUUCAAGUAAAUUAGGUUUGAAUGGCAGGUACCAUAUGGUAGGAAAUAUGUUCUAUAUGGUGGAUUCCUGAGAUACAUAUUUCAUCAUAAGUUGCUCUGAAUAAAGUAAAAUGUGAUCUCAGGUAUUAGCUUACUCUUAUGUAAGUAAAAGCUGGUCACAACAAUCUAAUUUGUGAUGACCUACAGAAAUAUGAAAAAAAAGAGAAUGCGCUUGAAUAUUAACUGCGCUGAUGCCUAUUCAAUCAAACCAAUCAUUAUUGUUACCUUAAGUGUUUCCAUUAUAUGACAUUUUGUGUCUACACUUCAAAAAAUGAAGAGUUCAACAUGAAUGGGGACAUUAAAUAAGAGUGAGGUGCUUAUUUAAUUUUAUGUUUUUUGGGGUAAACAUGAAUUCCAUCUUAUGAUUUGCACCAACAAAAGAUGCACCGGCUCAGUUUU